CCCGCUCCAGCCUCCUCCUCCUCUGUCAUCUGGCAGCCCCUUCAUUCGCCCUCAGCAGACCGUCAGUAUGGGGCGAGCCACAUGGGACUGCCAUCCUCCUGCUUCGUCGUGGUCGGAGCCUCAGAGGCCCAGACUCGGCUCCUAGCUCCUUCUCCUCCACCAUCUUCCCUCGAUCCUCCAGCUCAACAUCAACACCUCCAUUAUAGGCACACACCUAAAAGCUUCCACCCUUAUUGCCUGCAGAAACAAGAUACAGUUCAAUAACCUAGGUGACCUUUUGUUACAGUAACGGAGACAAUGAUGCCACACUAUACAAGAUUUUCAAACUAUGCAAUGCCAAUGGAUCUAUCCAUGGUUAACCCGGUGUAGCAGAGGACCGGACCGAGGAUGGUAUUAAGCUUGAUCAAACUCCCACAGCACUGAUACACAAAAGGAGUCUGCCAGUUGUCAAGGUAUCUCCAUGGAAACAAGAGAGAUGGUUUGGGGAAGCCCACUUCAGAGCAUCCUUUACAUUUCUGUGAUCUGGACCCUCAUUACAAACGAACCAGGUUUAAACGAAAAACACAAACACACACAAAAAAAAGAAGAAAGAAGAAAGUCCAAGUCCUCAUCUGUAACCUACACAACACUUUAGAAGGGCUUCAGGAGGGAAGACAGAGCCAUUUUUCUUGGUGUUUCCUACGACAGUCUGGAAAAUAUGAAUUUCGUCUGAGGUCCACAGGGGGAGGAUGAGGGGUCUACCAGUGUCUCAGUUCAUUUCACCUUUGGAAUCAUCAGAAACUAAUGAAAAAUGAGAGGUUUACACAGCAGCAUGAUGCCACAUCAUUGUUCUAUUGUGUGUCUGGGUUUGGGCAUGUACAGAGAUGAUGUCAUGGAAUGACAAUGAGAAACUCAGAUCUUGCAAUAAAAAGCACUUUUAACUAAAGAUGAAUAUAUACAUAGGUAGACAUAAAUAUAGAGAAGUUAUUGUCAAUUCAGUUCAGAAUGGUGUUCGAAAAUUAUAUGUUUUCCAGUGAAAGUUUUUUUUCAACGGUACAAAAUGCUCCCAGAAACCAAAGGUAAAAGUGCUAUUCAGUUAACAAAGAACUCAUAUACGCCUUGCCCCAGACUGUUAUCUUGUUAUGUCAAAAAGGAGGGUUAGGUAAGAUGGCUGUUCUUUCACAACCCACGUUCAGAAGCUUUUGUGACACUACAGCGAGUUUGCUUUGAAGCGGAGCAGCAUUAGCGGUGGUAGAGGAAAGCUCGUGUGGGCUGGGGUUCUCAUUAGGACGGAUAGGUUCCGAGGAAGCCGCUGAGCCUUGAUUGUAGGAUUUCAUUUGGGGCGCUUACUACUACUUUUCUUGUAUCUUCAGGCAGCCGCCAUACUUCAAAUGCCAAUUUAUGAGUCAUCACCUACGCAUCAGUCUUUCUUAGGACUCUGUGCUGCUAAUUAGAACACAGAAUCUGAGAUUAUAUGAUGAAACGCUGGGAAAAAGAUUUGAUUCGCGGCAGAGUGAUCUCAUUUGUAUCCGUAGGUAUGUGUGCAUCAAAGGCACAAAGACAAUUUCAACCAAAAAAAUCUCACGGCAGUUUUACUGAAUUCGUACAAUCUCUGCAUACAAUGUGUUCAAGCCCUACAGAUUAUAUUUAAAAUUGUACGUUCUCGUGAGAAUCACGUCACGUGAAUUCACGCCAUACAAAGUUGUUUAGGUUGAUAAUUGAAACAGAAACUGAAGGAGUUAAAAAAAUUGUUACCUUUUCAAACUUGGUACACACACCCAGAGACAACAAUCAACAAAGAAAGUCGAAAGCAUUCCUGCUUUCAUAGUACAACACGUGACACGUGGUAUGAAAGAAACAAUGCUGAAAGAAGCAAUCUGUUAUGUUACAUGCCAACUGCGCCCAUAUUAUCUGUAAAUUUACCGAAUUCAAAGUACACCUGGGACAAAAUAAACAUUUUAAUCUA